UACGGAGGGUGCAAGCGUUAUCCGGAAUCACUGGGUUUAAAGGGUGCGUAGGCGGCUUGAUAAGUCAGAGGUGAAAGCCCACGGCUCAACUGUGGAACUGCCUUUGAUACUGUCAGGCUUGAAUUGGGUUGAGGCAGGCGGAAUGUGGCUUGUAGCGGUGAAAUGCUUAGAUAUGCCAUAGAGAACCGAUUGCGAAGGCGGCCUGCCAAGCCUUGAUUGACGCUGAGGCACGAAAGCGUGGGGAGCGAACAGG
rnacentral:rRNA from 1 species